rnacentral:rRNA from 1 species
AGGACGAACGCUGGCGGCGUGCUUAACACAUGCAAGUCGAGCGAGGCCUCCCUUCGGGGAGUGUCCGAGCGGCGAACGGGUGAGUAACACGUGGGCAACCUGCCUCUAGCUCUGGGAUAACUCCGGGAAACCGGGGCUAAUACCGGAUACGACCUCGAGCGGCAUCUAUCGAGGUGGAAAGUUUUUCGGCUAGAGAUGGGCCCGCGGCCUAUCAACUUGUUGGUGAGGUAACGGCCCACCAAGGCGACGACGGGUA